UACGUAGGUGGCAAGCGUUGUCCGGAUUUACUGGGCGUAAAGCGCGCGUAGGCGGGUUGGUAAGUCCGCUGUGAAAGCCCGGAGCUUAACUCCGGAGGGUCGGUGGAUACUGCCAGUCUUGAAGGUGCUAGGGGGAGAUGGAAUUACCGGUGUAGCGGUGAAAUGCGUAGAUAUCGGUAGGAACACCAGUGGCGAAGGCGGUCUCCUGGGGCAUUCUUGACGCUGAGGCGCGAAAGCUGGGGGAGCGAACGGG
rnacentral:rRNA from 1 species